UGGGGAAUAUUGGACAAUGGGCGCAAGCCUGAUCCAGCCAUGCCGCGUGAGUGACGAAGGUCUUCGGAUUGUAAAGCUCUUUUAGCAGGGAAGAUAAUGACGGUACCUGCAGAAUAAGCCCCGGCUAACUUCGUGCCAGCAGCCGCGGUAAUACGAAGGGGGCUAGCGUUGUUCGGAAUUACUGGGCGUAAAGCGCACGUAGGCGGAUUGAUAAGUUAGAGGUGAAAUCCCGGGGCUCAACCUCGGAACUGCCUUUGAUACUGUUAGUCUCGAGUCCGAUAGAGGUGAGUGGAAUUCCUAGUGUAGAGGUGAAAUUCGUAGAUAUUAGGAAGAACACCAGUGGCGAAGGCGGCUCACUGGAUCGGUACUGACGCUGAGGUGCGAAAGCGUGGGGAGCAAACAGGAUUAGAUACCCAAGUAGUCCCUGAGCGGGCUGGCAAGGCGCAU
rnacentral:rRNA from 1 species